CGAUUGUGAGGUAUCUCCUUUUAUUAUGCAUUACAGAAUUAGUAAUAAGGGUUGGUUUAUCGGGUGAAGGCCGUAUCAGGGUGGCCAUAUUACAAGUCUUGAGCUAUCGGAUGCUAUUAAGGAAGUAAAAGCUGUAAAAUCUCGGUUUCUGGUUAAAGCAUGGAGUUGUGUGUCAAGAAUUGCAAUGUCAGUGGGUUUCCAAAUUUGAUUAUGUUUGUGCUCUUCACUUUCUUCUUCACUUCUUGCCUAAGAUGUCUUCCUGAGUAAGCAAUAAGGAAGUUCAGGAACUAUUUUGUCAUAGCAAAAACUGAAAAGGUCCACACAUUUCUGAAACCUGAGAAAGACAGCCUGUCUUACUCAUAGGAAUCUGUGUCUGUGUUCUGCUGUGUUCUGAAGAAACUGCUCCUUCUCACCUCUCCAAUGAAACUUAUUUUAUUUAGCCUACACCAACUCUACAAUUGGCAGACCAGUUAAUUGUCUUCA
rnacentral:lncRNA from 1 species